CGACCCCAGGUCAGGCAGGAUUACUCGCUGAACUUAAGCAUAUGAGUAAGCGGAGGAAAAGAAACUUACCAGUAUUCCCUUAGUAACGACAAGCGAAUCGGGAAAAGCCCAGCUUGAGAAUCGAUCGCCAUCGGCAUUCGAAUUGUAGUCUAAAGAAGCGUCCUCAGCAGUGGACGGGGCCUAAGUUUCUUGAAAAGGGGCGUCAGAGAGGGUGAGAGCCCCGUCAUGCCUAAACCCUGUCGCACCAUGAGGCACUAUCUACGAUUCAAGUUGUUUGGGAAUGCAGCCCUAAUCGGGCGGUAAAUUUUGUUGAAGGUUAAAUACGGGCAAGAGACGGAUUGCGAACAAGUACCGCGAGGGAAAGAUGAAAAAGACUUUGAAAAAAGAGUCAAAGAAUGCUUGAAAUUGUUGGGAGGAAAGCGGAUAGGGGCUGGCGAUGCACCCUGGUCGGAUGUGGAACAGCGAGAGUCGAUUCGCCGAUCAGCUCGGGGCAUGGACUGACAUGGGUCAUGGCGGUGGCCAAGUCCGAGCCUUUGAUACGCCCAUAGAGACGUCAUUUCCACGAUUGUGAGAUCGAGCACGUACCGUCUCAGUAUGCUCCGGCAACUGCAUGCUCUGAGCGUCGGCUUGUAGGCUCCCUAUUUGGCCCAUCUUGAAACACGGACCAAGGAGUCUGACAUGUGUGUGAGUCAACGGGCUAGAAAACCCAUAAGGCACAAGGAAGCUGAUUGGAGGGAUCCCUCAUGGUGUACUAUCGAUAGACCUUUAUCUUUUGAGAAAGGUUCGAGAGAGAGUAUGCCUAUCGAGACCUGAAAUAUGGUGAACUAUGCUUCAGCGGGACGAUGCUAAAGGAAACUCUAGCGGAGGCCUGCAGCAAUACUUACGUGCAAAUUGUUCAUCUGACUUUGUUAUAAGGGCAAAAGAAAAAUUGAACCGUCUAGUAGUUGGUUCCCUCCAAAGUUUCCCUUAGGAUAGCUGGAGCCCUUAGCGAGUUCUAUCGGGUAAAGCUAAUGAUUAGAGGCAUCGUGGGGGCAACACCCUCAAGUUAUUCUCAAACUUUAAAUAGGUAGGACGGCGCGGCUGCUUUGUUGAGCUAUGCCACGGAAUCGAGAGCUCCAAGUGGGCCAUUUUUGGUAAGUAGAACUAGCAAUACGAGAUGAACCGAAAGCUGGGUUACGGUGCCCAAUUACGUGCUAACCUAGAAACCACAAAGGGUGCUAGUUGAUUAAGACAGUAGAACGGUGGUCAUGGAAGUCGAAAUCUGCUAAGGAGUGUGUAACAAAUUACCUGUCGAAUCAACUACCCAGAAAAUAGAUGGAACUUAAUCGCAUGACCUAUAAUCGGCCGUCGGGGAAAGGGCCAGGCCUCGAUGAGUAAGAGUAUGCAGUGGUCACCGCAAAACCCGUGGUGCGACCCUGGCGGAGCGACUAUCAGUGUAAAUCUUGAUGGUAGUAGCAAAUAUUCAAAUGAAAACUUUAAAGGCUGAAAACAGUAAAGGUUCCAUGUGAACAACACUUGCACAUGGGUUAGUCGAUCUUAAGAGACAGGGGAAGCCUAUUCGAUAGCCCGCCCAGGGUGAGCUUUGAAAAGGAAUCGGGUUAAAAUUCCUAAACUGAGAUGCGGCAGUUGACAGCAAUAUUAGGGAGUCCUGAGACGUCGGCGGGGGCCUCAGGAAGAGUUAUCUUUUCUGUUUCACGACUUGUCCACCCUAGAAAUGACUUAGUCGACGGUAGGGUCCAGCGGUAGGAAGGGCACCGCAUGUCGCAUAGUGUCCACUGUGCUCCCUGCGGCCCUUGAAAAUUCCAAAGAUCAAGUGCAGUCCGCGCCCAGUUGUACUCAUAACCGCAUCAGGUCUCCAAGGUGAACAACCUCUGGGUAAUAGAACAAUAUAGGCAAAAGAAGUAGGCAAAAUAGAUCUGUAACCUCAGGAAAAGGAUUGGCUCUGAGGGUUGGGCACGGGGGUCCCAGUCCCGAACCCAUCGGUUACUGGUACACUGCUUAAGCUAGUCCCGUGAUGAGAGCAAGUCGCCUCGUGCUGGUCGGGGACGGACUGGGAAUGUCUCCCUCAAUGGCCUUCCCCAGGCGACGAACAGUCAACUCAAAACUGGUAUAGAUAAGGGGAAUUUGACUGUUUAAUUAAACAAAGCAUUGCUAUGGUCCCUACGGAUGCUCAGGCAAUGUGAUUUCUACCUAGUGCUCUGAAUGUCAAAGUGAAGAAAUUCAACCAAGCGUGGGUAAACAACAGGAGUGCCUAUGAGUCUCUUAAGGUAGCCGAAUGCCUCGUCAUCUAAUUAGUGACGUGCAUGAAUGGAUUAAUGAGAUUCCCACUGUCCCUAUUUACUAUCCAACGAAACCACAGCCAAGGGAACGAGCUUGGCAGAAUCAGCGGGUAAAGAAGACCCUGUUGAGCUUGACUCUAGUCCAACGUUGUGAAAUGACUUGAGAGGUGUAGGAUUAGUCGGAGCUCUCGGAUGAAAUUGAAAUACCAUUACUUUUAACAUUAUUUUACUUAUUCUGUGAAUCGACGAUGGGGGACGGACCCUCUUUUUGGACCAAAGUCGGCUUCGGAGGCGGCACAUUUGUUAAAAGGUAACACAGGUGUCCUAAAAUGAGUUCAACAGGAACAAAAAUCUUGUGUGGAACAAAAGGGUAAAAGCUCGUUUAAUUCUGAUUCCCAGUACGAAUACAAACCAUGAAAACGUGGCCUAUCAAUCCUUUAGACCUUCGAAAUUUGAAGCUAGAGGUGUCAAAAAACUUACCACAGGGAUAACAAGCUUGUGGCAACCAAAUGUUCGUAGUGACAUUAUUUUUUGAUCCUUCGGUGUUAGAUCUUCCUAUCAUUGUGAAACAAAAUUCACAAGUGUUGGAUUGUUCACCCACCAAUAGGGAACGUGAGCUGGGUUUAGACCAUCGUGAGACAGAUUAGUUUUAUCCUACUGAUGGUCGCGUCACAAUAGUAAUUCAACCUAGUACGAGAAGAAUCAUUGAUUCGUACAACUGGUCGUUACGCUUGGUUGAAAAGCCAGGGGCGUGAAGCUACCGUUCGUUGGAAUAUGACUAAACUCCUCUAAGUUAGAAUCCUGGCUAGAAGCGAUGCACACGCCCGUCAUCCGAUUGCAGACCCGUAGUAGGGGCCUCUGGCCCCCAAUGGCACGUAUCGUAGGUGCAGCGAUCGCGGCAGAUAAGUCGCAGGCACCAUCCUUGGAGCAUAAUUCCCACCGAGCAACGAGUAGAAUCCUUUGCAGAUAACUUAAAUACUCGAUGGGUAUUGUAAGUGGCAGAGCGGCCUUACUGCCACGAUCCACUGAGAUUCAGCCCUUUGUCGCUUUGAUUCGU
rfam:Gossypium raimondii Chr07_contig_815, whole genome shotgun sequence.